rnacentral:rRNA from 1 species
UACAGAGGGGGCAAGCGUUGUUCGGAAUUACUGGGCGUAAAGGGCGCGUAGGCGGCCUUCUAAGUCGAACGUGAAAUCCCCGGGCUCAACCCGGGAACUGCGUCCGAUACUGGAAGGCUUGAAUCCGGGAGAGGGAUGCGGAAUUCCAGGUGUAGCGGUGAAAUGCGUAGAUAUCUGGAGGAACACCGGUGGCGAAGGCGGCAUCCUGGACCGGCAUUGACGCUGAGGCGCGAAGCCAGGGAGCAACGGGAUUAA